rnacentral:tRNA from 1 species
GCCUGGCUGGCUCAGUCAAUAGAGCAUAUGACUCUUGAUCUUGGGCUGUGAGUUCCAGUCCCACACUGGGCA